AGCAGGGCUGAGUGUGUGUGAGACGUGCAGAUAGCAGAGCUGAGUGUGUGAUGUGCAGAUAGCAGAGCUGAGUGUGUGACGUGCAGAUAGCAGAGCUGAGUGUGUGAGUGACGUGCAGAUAGCAGAGCUGUGUGUGUGUGUGAUGUGCAGAUAGCAGAGUUGUGUGUGUGAGUGACGUGCAGAGAGCAGGGCUGAGUGUGUGUGAGACGUGCAGAUAGCAGAGCUGAGUGUGUGAUGUGCAGAUAGCAGAGCUGAGUGUGUGUGACGUGCAGAUAGUAGAGCUAAGUGUGUGACGUGCAGAUAGCAGAGCUGUGUGUGCAGGCAUUUGCCUAGUGCGGCACUUACCAAUGGGGCGGCAGCAUGAGAGGAUGCCACGCCCAUGACGCUCCCUGUUCUCACCAUAGAGACGACGUAACCUCUUCCUGUCACAUGACCCCUCCCUGUCAAAGACCUCGAGACUCUCCGUCGCCCUGUGAGACACGGACGCAGCAUGGACACUCGGCAGCGGGCACAGCGGCAGAAGGAAGGCGGGCCGGAGACGGUGUCCGCGGAGCUGGCGGAGCGGCGGAGGGAGGCGCGGGGCUGCCUGCAGACGCUGUCUCAGCACUCCUACUGGUUCGACAUCUGGGUCUUCCUCCUGUUUGACCUGAUCCUGUUCGUGUUCAUCUACCUGCUGCCCUGAGUCGGUCGCAGUAGAUGCAGCUCCGGGUCGUCGCUGAGAUGUAGACGUGUAAUAUUACUAAUCAUCGAAACGUCUUAAGCAGUUGUGGAAAUAAUGCUGCAAAGUGAGAAUGUUUUCAAAAAUUAACAAAAUGCAAAGUGAAUGAAGAAGAAAGGACUGUUAACCCAAUCAGUUCCGGGGUGAUCGGCCUUUGCCUCCAUCCUCAGUUCUUGUAGGGACACUCGCACAGACAUGUUCCAGACACCGAUCUUCUGUGGAUGGAGGCUUGUUCAUAUCCUUCUCUUCAUGUAAUCCCUCUGUAGGGGUCAUGUCAUCACCUCCAGGAUUCCUUGUUCUUCUUUAUGCUAAAGAUAGUUCUUGAUGACACUGGAUGGAUAUUUGGGGUUGUUGUUCUGCUGCAGAAUAAAUAUGGAGCCAAUCAGACGCCUCCCUGAGAUGAGCGAUAGAAAUUACAUAUUUUACUGCGUCUAUGAAUUUCAGUCCCGGACUUAAAGGGGUUGUCCCACAAAAAAAAAAAAAUGUCUACAGUUUUCAAACCAGCACCUGGAUCUGAAUACUUUUGUAAUUGCGUGUAAUAAAAAAAAAAUAAUAAUAA